UACGUAGGGUGCAAGCGUUAAUCGGAAUUACUGGGCGUAAAGCGUGCGUAGACGGUAGCGUAAGUCGGGUGUGAAAGCCCCGGGCUCAACCUGGGAAUUGCAUUCGAGACUGCUCUGCUAGGGUGCGGAAGAGGGAAGCGGAAUUUCCGGUGUAGCGGUGAAAUGCGUAGAUAUCGGAAGGAACACCGGUGGCGAAGGCGGCCUUCUGGACAGUGACUGACGCUGAGACGCGAAAGCGUGGGGAGCAAACAGG
rnacentral:rRNA from 1 species